CCAGACUCCUACGGGAGGCAGCAGUGGGGAAUAUUGCACAAUGGGGGGAACCCUGAUGCAGCGACGCCGCGUGGGUGAAGGAGCACCUCGGUGCGUAAAGCCCUAUCGGCAGGGAAGAAAAGCGAACAGGUUCGCCUGGACGGUACCUGACUAAGAAGCCCCGGCUAACUACGUGCCAGCAGCCGCGGGAAUACGUAGGGGGCAAGCGUUAUCCGGAUUUACUGGGUGUAAAGGGGGCGCAGACGGCGAUGCAAGCCAGGAGUGAAAGCCCGGGGCCCAACCCCGGGACUGCCCUUGGAACUGCAUGGCUGGAGUGCGGGAGGGGCAGGCGGAAUUCCUGGUGUAGCGGUGAAAUGCAUAGAUAUCACGCAGAACUCCGAUUGCGAAGGCAGCGCACCGGCGCCCUACUGACGCUCAGGCACGAAAGCGUGGGUAUCGAACAGGAUUAGAUACCCUAGUA
rnacentral:rRNA from 1 species